rnacentral:rRNA from 1 species
CAGGUAGUUGGUGAGGUAACGGCUCACCAAGCCGACGACGGGUAGCCGGCCUGAGAGGGUGACCGGCCACACUGGGACUGAGACACGGCCCAGACUCCUACGGGAGGCAGCAGUGGGGAAUAUUGCACAAUGGGCGCAAGCCUGAUGCAGCAACGCCGCGUGAGGGACGACGGCCUUCGGGUUGUAAACCUCUUUUAGUAGGGAAGAAGCGAAAGUGACGGUACCUGCAGAAAAAGCACCGGCUAACUACGUGCCAGCAGCCGCGGUAAUACGUAGGGUGCAAGCGUUGUCCGGAAUUAUUGGGCGUAAAGAGCUCGUAGGCGGUUUGUCGCGUCUGCUGUGAAAUCCCGAGGCUCAACCUCGGGCCUGCAGUGGGUACGGGCAAACUAGAGUGCGGUAGGGGAGAUUGGAAUUCCUGGUGUAGCGGUGGAAUGCGCAGAUAUCAGGAGGAACACCGAUGGCGAAGGCAGAUCUCUGGGCCGUAACUGACGCUGAGGAGCGAAAGCGUGGGGAGCGAACAGGAUUAGAUACCCUGGUAGUCCACGCCGUAACGUUGGGAACUAAAUGUGGG